GGACUACAAGGGUAUCUAAUCCCGUUUGCUCCCCUGGCCUUCGUGCCUCAGUGUCAGGAACUGUCCAGAGAUUCGCCUUCGCCACUGGUCUUCCUCACGAUAUCUACGCAUUUCACUGCUACACCGUGAAUUCCAAUCUCCUCUCCAGUCCUCGAGCAUCGCAGUAUCGAAUGCAGUUCCAGGGUUGAGCCCUGGGAUUUCACAUCCGACUUACGACACCACCUACGCACCCUUUACGCCCAAUGAAUCCGAACAACGCUUGGGACCUCUGUAUUACCGCGGCUGCUGGCAC
rnacentral:rRNA from 1 species